rnacentral:rRNA from 1 species
UUUAUGGAGAGUUUGAUCCUAGCUCAGAGCGAACGCUGGCGGCGUAGUUUAGACAUGCAAGUCGAACGGUAGACUCCUUCGGGAGUUUAGAGUGGCGAACGGGUGCGUAAUACGCGAACAACUUACCCCUUAGUUUGGAAUAGCCCGCCGAAAGGUGGAUUAAUGCCGGAUGUGAUUUGGAAUCGCAUGAUUCCGAUAUUAAAGCUUGUAAUGGCGCUAGGGGAGAGGUUCACGGCCUAUCAGCUUGUUGGCGGGGUAACGGCCCACCAAGGCUAAGACGGGUAGCUGGUCUGAGAGGAUGAUCAGCCACACUGGGACUGAGACACGGCCCAGACACCUACGGGUGGCAGCAGUUUCGAAUUAUUCACAAUGGACGCAAG